rnacentral:rRNA from 1 species
AUUGAACGCUGGCGGAAUGCUUUACACAUGCAAGUCGAACGGCAGCACGGGGGCAACCCUGGUGGCGAGUGGCGAACGGGUGAGUAAUACAUCGGAACGUGCCCAGUCGUGGGGGAUAACGUAGCGAAAGUUACGCUAAUACCGCAUACGAUCUACGGAUGAAAGCGGGGGACCGUAAGGCCUCGCGCGAUUGGAGCGGCCGAUGUCAGAUUAGGUAGUUGGUGAGGUAAAGGCUCACCAAGCCGACGAUAUGUAGCCGGUCUGAGAGGACGACCGGCCAAACUGGAACUGAGACACGGCCCAGACUCCUACGGGAGGCAACAGUGGGGAAUUUUGGACAAUGGGCGCAAGCCUGAUCCAGCCAUUCCGCGUGCAGGACGAAGGCCUUCGGGUUGUAAACUGCUUUUGUACGGAACGAAAAGGCUCUGGUUAAUACCUGGGGCUCAUGACGGUACCGUAAGAAUAAGCACCGGCUAACUACGUGCCAGCAGCCGCAGUAA